rfam:TPA: Aspergillus nidulans FGSC A4 chromosome IV
GGCAAGGUGGCCGAGUGGUCUAAGGCGCACGGUUCAGGCUUUACCUGAUCCUUCAGAUUUCCCUCUAAGUUUCCGUGUAUCGAAAGGUGCGUGGGUUCGAAUCCCACCCUUGUCA